rnacentral:tRNA from 2 species
GUCCCUGUAGCUUAAUCACAAAAGCAUAACACUGAAGAUGUUAAGAUGGUUCACAAACCCAUGGACA